AAAAACUUUCUUCUCAAUCUCAAUGGUGAGAUUCAAUUGAUUUUUUUUAUGCUAACAAGAGUAAACCGGUCUCUGGCCGAGACAAACCCGUAUCCGAUAUUAACUACAUUGAGCUGAACAUGUCAAGGAAAAAGAUGAGCAACUUUUACUACAAGAAAGGUUUUUGAACGAAUCAAGCUUCGAUUUUAUCCCAUGCUUCUCCAUCAGCUUGUGAGAGUACACGAGGAAGUUUAGCCACAACAUCUGCUAUAGGAGGUCUUUUCAUAGCAUCUUCCUGUACACGCAUUUCAGCAACAGCAAGAGCUUGAGCAAGUUCAUUUUCUGGAUGGCACCCUUCCAUGGAUGGGUCAACAAUCUCUUUGAACUUCGUACUAUCACUAAUAUAUGGCUGUGUCUGCGAAGUCAAAAAGGUGAUAAGUUAAGGAAAUGCACAAGAAAAAACAUGUGAUCAGAUUUGAAAUGAAGGAAUAAAUAAACAGUAGACAAAAUAAAAAAAGUUCAAAAAGUUACCCAAACAACAA